rnacentral:lncRNA from 1 species
UCCCUGGUCACCCUAGCUGGCUCAACCACCAGGUGGGGAAAAGCCAAACUUGUUUCUUUUCUAAUUAUUCAUGGCUAAAUAGGAGAACAAAAGUAACUUCAGCCAAAAUGGGAGAAGGAAGCACCCAUUUCCAAGUGUAGCCCAGCUGGGGCUGCAGCAGGACUGACCGAUGACGUUCCUCCCAUCACACCAUCUCCGCAUGCGCAAUGGCCGAGAAUGCCGUAGCACAGUGAGAUUCCUCUAGGAACUGCACAUUUCAAGGAGAAUUGGCGAAUCCAGAAGGGAUUAUUUUCCUCAGUCUCUUGCCUGCGAUUACUUCUGAGUGGCAGCGUUCUGUGGAGUUUCCCUCUCCUUUGGAUAUUUUUCUUGAUCAUCUAGAUAAUAAUCCUAAACUGGUUAAUAAU